GAAUAUAUUUUAUCACCCCUAAAAUGAUUAUUCAUUUUCAGCGGUAAUUCGACCUAAAGUCAAACUUACAAUAAAACCGAUGAUAAAUACUACUAAUGAAACGAACCACAUCACGAUAUUAGUUGGUAAACCUGGAAAUACUGCAAAGAGGGAGCCAACAACAAAACCAAUGAUUAAUGCAAAAGUCAUUAGUUUAUGAUGUGUUAGGAAAUACUGGAUAAUUUUGCUUGAAAUAAUGAAUCCAGCAAGCACGCCAAAUCCGACUGCAAGUAAUAUAGGAAGACCGGCAAAGUUAAGUUUAACAACUUCAGAUAUUGCUAGCAUGACCGUACCAUAGACGCCAAAUACUAAUAACAUAAAUGACCCUGAAAUACCUGGGAGUAACAUAGCACUAGAUGCACACAUACCUGCAAUAAAGUAUUUAAUAAUAAGACCAGUUGAUAGAGUAAGUGUUUCUCCAGCAUGUUUAUCGCUAUUAUUCAUUAAUGUAAUAACAAUUAAGAUAGCGAUACCAGCUAUAACCAUCAUGUAAUGUUUAGUUGUAAAUGACGUUUUAUAGUUAGAAAUUUUCAAUAAAUAUGGAACGAUACCAAUGAUUAAUCCACCAAAGAAAAACAUAGUUGGAAUAUGGUGUUGGCUUAAUAAAUAAUUAAAAAGAUUACUUAGUGAUCCCAUUGCCAGUAACAUUCCAAUUAUAAUAGGGAUUAAAAAUGUAAAACUUGGCCAAAAACGUCGUGAGAAUAUGCCACUAAUUGAAGCGAUAAAUUGAUUGUAUAUACCUAACAAUAAUGCAAUAGUCCCACCGCUAACACCAGGU
rnacentral:snRNA from 1 species